rnacentral:misc_RNA from 1 species
UACAGAGGGUCCGAGCGUUAAUCGUGUUCACUGGGCGUAACGCGUGCGUAGGCGGCUCUUUAAGUCGGAUGUGUAAUCCCCGAGCUUAACUUGGGAAUUGCAUUCGAUACUGGGAAGCUAGAGUAUGGGAGAGGAUGGUAGAAUUCCAGGUGUAGCGGUGAAAUGCGUAGAGAUUUGGAGGAAUACCGAUGGCGAAGGCAGCCAUCUGGCCUAAUACUGACGCUGAGGUACGAAAGCAUGGGGAGCAAACAGG